ACCCGGCCAUCUGGGCGAGCGCCCAUGCCCCGAUGAGUUAGGAGGGCCGGCGGCGGCCGCUGCAAAACCUGGGGCUCGAGCCCGGGCGGAGGGGCCGUCGGGCAGAUCUUGGUGGUAGUAGCAAAUAUUCAUGAGAACUUGAAGGCCGAAGAGGAGAAAGGUUCCAUGUGAACGGCACUGCACAUGGGUAAGCCGAUCCUUAAGACGGGUAACCCCGGCAGAUAGCGCGAUCACGGCAUCCCCCGAAAGGGAAUCGGGUUUAAGAUUUCCCCCGAGCCGGGAUGUGGCGGUUGACGGCGACGUUAGGAAGUCCGGAGACGCCGGCGGGGCCCUCGGGAAGAGGUUAUCUUUUCUGCUUAACGGCCUGCACAAGCCCUUGGAAUCCGGUUCAGCCGGAGGUAGGGUCCAUGUGGUCGGAAGAGCACCGGCACGUCGCGCGGUGUCCGGUGGCCCCGCGGCCCAUGAAAAUCCGGAGGACCGAGUCCGUCCACGCCGUCGUAACUCAUAACGCAUCAGGUUCUCCAAGGUAUUGAAACAGCCUCUGGCCAAUGGAACAUGUAGGCAGGGAAGUCGGCAAAACGGAUCCGUAACUUCGGAAAAGGAUUGGCAUCUGAGGACUGGGCUCGGGGUCCGGCCUCGAACCCGUCGGCUGUUGGCGGAUUGCUCGAGCUGCUCACGCCCGGCGAGAGCGGGUCGCCGCGUGCCGGCCGGGGGACGGACCGGAAUCCCCUUCGGGGGCUUUCCCCGAGCAUGAACAGUACUAGAAACUGGUACGGACAAGGGGAAUCCGACCUGUUUUAAAAAAUUAAACAAAUUGAGAUGGUCCUCGCGGAUGCUGACGCAAUGUGAUUUCUGCCCAGUGCUCUGAAUGUCAAGUGAAAGAAUUCAACAAGCGCGGGUAACGGCGGGAUAACUAUGACUCUCUUAAGGUAGCCCAAAUGCCUCGUCAUCUAAUUAGUGACCGCAGGAAGAUUAAGAGAUUCCCCUGUCCCUGUCUACUAUCCAGCGAAAACCACAGCCAAGGAAACGGCUUGGCGGAAUAGCGGGGAAAAGAAACCCUGUUGAGCUUGACUCUAGUCCGACUUUGGUGAAAAUACUUGAGAGGUGAGAUAAGUGGAGCCUUUACGGGGCAAGUGAAAUACCACUCUUUUAACGUUAUUUUACUUAUUCCGUGGUCGGAAGCGGGGCAAGCCCCUCCUUUUGGCUUCAAGGCCCGGUCUCACCGGGCCGAUCCGCGGAAAGACAUUUGUCAGUGGGGAGUUUGGCUGGGGCGGCACAUCUGUUAAAGAUAACGCAGGUGUCCUAAGAUGAGCUCAACGAGAACGAAAUCUCGUGUGGAACAAGGGUAAAAGCUCGUUUGAAUUCUGAUUUCCAGUACGAAUACGAACCGUGAAAGCGUGGCCUAUCGAUCCUUUAGAUCUUCGAGUUUUGAAGCUGGGUUCGAAAGUUACCGCAGGGAUAACUGCUUGUGGCACCAAGCGUUAAUAGCGACGAUUGCUUUUGAUCUUCCGAUGUCGGCUCUUCCUAAUCAUUGUGAAGCAGAUUCACCAAGUGUUGGAUUGUUCACCCCAAAAUAGGGAACGUGAAGUGGGUUUUAGACCGUCGUGAGACCAGGUUAGUUUUACCCUCUGAUGAAGUGUCGCCGAUAGUAAUUCAACCUAGUACGAGAGGCCGUUGAUUCACACAAUUGGUCAUCGCGCUUGGUGAAAAGCCAGUGGCGCGAAGCUUACCGUGUGCCGGAUUAUGCUGAAACGCCCUAAAAUCAGAACAAAAGCUAGCAAGCGACGCCUGCGCCUGCCGCUCGCCCCGCCCACUUAGGGGCGCUUGCGCCCCCCAAGGGCCCGGCCAUUGGCUAAGCCGGUCCGGCCGAUGUGCUGUGGCCGGCCGCCUCGAAGCUCCCUUCCCAAACGGGCGGUGGCUGAAUCCUUUGCAGGACGACUUAAAUACGCGACGGGGCAUUGUAAGUGGCAGAGUGGCCUGGCUGCCACGAUCCACUGAGAUCCAGCCCCACGU
rnacentral:rRNA from 1 species